rnacentral:rRNA from 1 species
GAAUAUUGCAAAUGGGCGAAAGCCUGAUGUAGCAACGCCGCGUGUGCGAUGAAGGUCUUCGGAUUGUAAAGCACUUUUUGGAGGGAUGAGGAAGGACAGUACCUCCAGCAUAAGCCUCGGCUAACUACGUGCCAGCAGCCGCGGUAACACGUAGGAGGCAAGCGUUAUUCGGAUUUACUGGGCGUAAAGCGCGUGCAGGCGGUUUGGAAAGUUGGAUGUGAAAGCUCCUGGCUCAACUGGGAGAGGUCGUUCAAAACUUCCAGACUUGAGAGUGGUAGAGGGAGGUGGAAUUCCGGGUGUAGUGGUGAAAUGCGUAGAUAUCCGGAGGAACACCAGUGGCGAAAGCGGCCUCCUGGACCACUUCUGACGCUCAGACGCGAAAGCUAGGGUAGCAAACGG